UACGUAGGGUGCAAGCGUUAUCCGGAAUUAUUGGGCGUAAAGAGCUCGUAGGCGGUUUGUCGCGUCUGCUGUGAAAACUGGAGGCUCAACCUCCAGCCUGCAGUGGGUACGGGCAGACUAGAGUGCGGUAGGGGAGAUUGGAAUUCCUGGUGUAGCGGUGGAAUGCGCAGAUAUCAGGAGGAACACCGAUGGCAGGAAGGCAGGUCUCGUGGGACUUAACUGACGCUGAGAGCGAAAAGCAUGGGGAGCGAACAGG
rnacentral:rRNA from 1 species